rnacentral:lncRNA from 1 species
CAACCCUUUCUUCCCCUCCUCCGUCCUCAAAUCUGGUCUCUGGUUUUUGAUUGAAGUUGAAAGUCGUAAAAAGCUUUCUUCAACUUUUAGGGAAGGCUUCUUUAUCUGGUCAUUGCGGAUCAAUUCAAUUCCCAAAUGACUCGUUCCCUUGAAGCAAAAUCGAUCGUGUUGCUUUUUUUCUUUAAUUUCUCCCUCAAAUUUUUGCUACUUUGGGCAGAUUGAGAAAGAGCAACUAGAUUUCUUGAAUCGUGAAUUUCAGUUUAUUAUUUUAUUUUUUGAAGGCUUUAUAAAUCGUAUUCAACAUGCACUUAAUUUGAUUUUGUGUGUGUUUUUUUCAAGAGAAGCCGAGAAAGAUGUUCUCCUCGCUAUCUAAUGCUGCAUUUCUGUGUGGUAUUUGGACGUCGGAGAACUAAAUUUCUUCCCCUUUUUAUCAAACAAUGCUUCCUCUUUUAUUUUUUCUUAUGUAACAAAAACUGGACUUGAAAUAGUCGAUGAACUUGUAUAAGCUCUGGAACUGUAAAGACCAUGAAAACCCAGAAUCCUAUGAGCAAACCCAAUAAAUAUUUUUUAAAUAUUUAUAUAAAAUUGUAAAUAAAGAACAGAAAAAGGCUACGAAGAUGCUGGUAAUUUUGGGAUGAAAAGAGAAGGCUAGAGAGAACGGAAGAAAUGACAAAGGACCUUGUUGGUUUGUUUUAGUUUGUUGAUUG